rnacentral:lncRNA from 1 species
CGUGCGUGGGUCAAAUGAUUGUUUAGGAAGUCUGUAUGAUGACGAAAAAACUGCAGGUGACUAAAAGCUGCCGAUGAGCUGCCAGUCCGGAUGGCAGCUGUCAACACCGCAAGGGCCUGCAGGCGCAUCAGCCCUCCCCCCGUUCCUCUACUGCCAUUGGAGACAGGAUGCUUUGUAAAAGAUUGUUUCUUUUCUUCAGUGGGAGCUCAUGAAGGUGGCACUGUGCACAGAG